CCUCUUCAGACAAAAUCUACAUAUAUAAUUAUUAACCGACUGAUUUAUCUUUUUCCUUGCAGAAUUCUGAAAGAGUGACCAUUGGAUCUAACCAUAAGCUAAACUAUAGUUCCCGUGACAUACGACUAUUGUUGAACAAGUGACAUUCCAUCAACGACAACCGCUUGUUCAGCAAUGAUUCUGCUGCCAAGGGAACUUUGGUUUGCACUGGCGCAACACUUCUGUUAAGUUACAAUUUUCAAGUCAGCUACUUUAGUUUUUGAUCAAAUCUGGCUUAAUCUUCUCAAGGUUGUUUCUUCCAAUUUUCCAGGUUAGCUACUUCUUCAAUUCUCCGUCUAACAUUUUUUUUUUGAAUGUUGUCUGAUCCGUGUCUAUCUAUUUUGGGAGAGCUAGCUCAGAUACGAGGGAAAUAUUCCUAUAUUCCUUACUGCCAUCUUUAUAUGUAAAAGGAUAUCUUUCUU
rnacentral:misc_RNA from 1 species